rnacentral:lncRNA from 1 species
UUUAACAAUCAAACCAAGACCACACUUCUACCGUCUUCUACCUUCUUCUACAUUCUACUGUAUUCUACCCUCUACUGUCUUCUAACAAUACCAAAGUUUUUAAUCCAUUAUCACAUUAAACACCUUUCCAUAACCUCCUACAACCCAAACGUUCUUACACUCCACUUCCUUCCUAAUUACUGUAAGUUGGUUUACUUGUUUUCUGGUGUUCCGGUGUUCAGGUUUUCUGGUAUUCUGACAUUUUCGUUCCAGUGUGUUUGGUGGGUUCUGUAGUCUGGUUUUCUUUUAUUCUGUGUUCCGGUGAUCUGGUUUUCCGGUGUUCUGAUUUUUUCAGUCCGGUGGUGUUGAAAUCGAUUGAUAGUUAUGGGUUUCUCGUUCUGUUGAAGACCACACUAGUUGGGGUUUAUCUGCGUUCUGGGUUGAGUUAUUCAUACACCUUGUUCUGGUUAGUUUCGUUUUACUCUGCGAUUUCAGGAAAAUUUCUUCUGCAUUCUUGGUAUUUCGCACACCUCGUUGUCCUCUGUAGGGUCACAAUGUUUUUCUGUUGUGCCAGAAAUUUUUAAAAUUUUGUCUUUCCAUCGUCCUGUCAAGGAUCAACAUUGUUCUUCAACGAUUCUUUUUUUUUUAACACUUUAAUCCAAGAUUAAUUUACUCGGCUACCUGUUUUUGCCCCUUAUUUCCAUUUUUUUUUUAAUUUAAAUUUAUGUAGCGUUUUGAAAAAGAUUUCUCAUUGCCGACAUUGCUAUUUCUCAUUGAAUUUAUGCAGUGAACUUUUCUAGAUAUACCAUAUGUCAACUUUUCCAUUAUUCUAUAUGUCAACUCCAAGUUUUCUUACCAAAGACACAUAUUUAUUGUUCUCAGUUUGGCCAUAUGUUUAUCUAAAUUCACUGGUCCUUCAUCCCAAAACUCUCACCGAGAAGCUACUGGCUAGGCGGCGGUGAGCAAAGAAGCACGGAAGAAGGCAAGCUCUCCAGGUUUGGUGGAUCCAAUCACUUCUGAGAUCUGUUUUUGAGAAACUAACUGCUGCAACCUCCGACGUUCGCACCAACCUUACGGGUCUCCGAGCUCCACGUCGUUGAGCCAGUCGAAGUUUAACGGCUCCACUGGAUCAGCAUCAGGAAUGUUCAAAAAACUUGACGCAGCCAUGUAGAGGAAGGCGAUGAACAAGUACCCGCAUUGAGGGUAGACCACCACGUCAUUGUGAGGCGUCAGUGGUGCUUCAGGAACGUACUCCGGAAUCUCAAGUGCAGACUCAGACGGAGGCGGACGAUGAGGUGUAGGACGGACAAUGUCUCGAUGACUUCCGGGUUGAGCAAGUGACAGUGGCGUCUUGUUGUCGGAGGCGUCACGAAAUCGUCGUCGUCUUGGGUGAGAUCUAUGAUCUCCCUCUUCUGCAGAAAAUGUCUUUGCUAUCGACGGAAGCCAUCACCAUUUGUUGAUGAACCUCUGGUCUCAAAUCUUCGCACCAUCGCCGAACGUAGAGAAAGAAGGAUGAGCUUACUCCGAAAGAAGAACUAGCACGGUGAUGAAGAAGGAUGUUCAACCCUCUCGAACGGUCAGCUUAUUUAUAAGCUUGGCCGUGGACUGAUCUAUUACAAUAAUGUGCACUCUUGUUAAAAGGCUAAAUAUUCACAGGUUAAUUGGUUACACUAGCUUUUAUUUUUAUCUAAAUUUAAAUUUCACAUACAUUUUCUCUCAUGCAAUGUACUUCAAUCGAGGUUAACACCGCCUAUGCUAAUGGUAAAGAUUGUAGUUUUUUAUAAUAACCACGGAUUGGACACUACAAUCCGUGGUUAGUGCUCCAAUCCGCACGGAUGAAAUCCUGAUAGUAAAGUAGGAUUUUUUUUUAAUUUGUAUAUUCGUAAAUUAUAAAAUUGUGUUCUAU